GGGUAAAAAUUAAUGGUUUGGGUUUAAUAAAAUAAAUUUUAAUAUGAAAAUGCUAAAUGGGGGUUAUAGUAUUUUUAAUAGAAAAAAUUUAUAUUUUUAUAGUUUAUUAUGUAUUGUAAGAGAAUUUUGAAAUAUUUGAAAAAAAAAUUGUUUGAAAGUAAUUUUUGUUUAUUGUAUCUUGUGUAUCAGAGUUUAUUAAUAAUUUUUUAUUUUUUUAAAUUUCUCGAAUUUAAAAGAGUUAAUUAAUUAAAAAAUUUAUUGUUUUAUAAAUAUUUUAAAUAAUUAAUUAGAAAUGAAAUGUUAAUCGUUUUUAAAUAUAUCUAGUUUUUUUAGAAAAAAAUUUAAUUUUUAAUUAAAUUAAAAAAUUAAUUGAAUAAUUUAAUUAUUUUUAAAAUUUAAUUUAAUAAUUUGGGGGAUAAGCUUUAAAUUAAAUUUUUAUAAUAUAAUUAUCAUUUAAUUUAAAAAUUUUAUAAUUUAUAUUGUUAAUAAAUUUUAAUUUAUUUAUAAAUAAUUUUAAAACAAAUUUAAAAUUUAAUAAAAAUUUAAUAUUUUAUAAAAAAAUAUUUUUUAAUAAAUUAUAAUUAGAUAUAAUGAUAAAAUUAGUAUAUAAAUUUAUAUAAUUUAAAUUUUUUUAUUUAUGAAAAAUUAUAUUAAAGGAAUUUGACAAAUGUUUAUAUUCACCUGUUUAUCAAAAACAUGUCUUUUUGUAAAUAAUUUAAAGUCUAAUCUGCCCACUGAUUUAAUUAUUGAAGGGCUGCAGUAUAUUGACUGUACAAAGGUAGCAUAAUCAUUAGUCUCUUAAUUGGUGACUUGUAUGAAAGAUUGGAUGAAAUAUAUAUUGUCUCUAAUUAUAUUUUAUUGAAUUUAAUUUUUUAAUUAAAAAGUUAAAAUAUAUUAAAAAGACGAGAAGACCCUAUAGAGUUUUAUAUUUAAAAAUUUUAUUUUUUAAGUUUAUUUAAUAAUAUAAAUUUGGAAAAAUAUUUUAUUGGGGUGAUAGAAAAAUUUAAUUAACUUUUUUUAAAUUUUAACAUAAAUAAAUGAUUUUUUGAUCCAAUAUUAAUGAUUAUAAGAGAAAAUUACCUUAGGGAUAACAGCGUAAUUUUUUUUUUUAGUUCAAAUAAGAAAAAGAGUUUGCGACCUCGAUGUUGGAUUAAGAUAAAAUUUAAAUGCAAAAGUUUAAAGUUUUGAUCUGUUCGAUCAUUAAAAUCUUACAUGAUCUGAGUUCAAACCGGUGUAAGCCAGGUUGGUUUCUAUCUUUUAAUAUUUUUUAAUAUUUUAGUACGAAAGGAUUAAAUAUUAUAAUUAUAUUAAUUAUAUUGAUUUUUAAUAAGCUAUAAAUAAAUUUGUA
rnacentral:rRNA from 1 species